rnacentral:rRNA from 1 species
UGAGCAAUCUGCCCUUCUCAUCGGAAUAACCAUUGGAAACGAUGGCUAAUGCCGAAUAUGACCUCGGAUCACAUGUUCUGAGGUGGAAAGCUCCGGCAGAGAAGGAUGAGCUCGCGGCCUAUCAGCUAGUUGGUGUGGUAAUGGCCCACCAAGACGACGACGGGUAGCCGGCCUGAGGAGGGUGACCGGCCACACUGGGACUGAGACACGGCCCAGACCUCCG